rnacentral:rRNA from 1 species
GACGAACGCUGGCGGCGUGCUUAACACAUGCAAGUCGAACGGUAAGGCCCUUCGGGGUACACGAGUGGCGAACGGGUGAGUAACACGUGGGUGAUCUGCCCUGCACUUCGGGAUAAGCCUGGGAAACUGGGUCUAAUACCGGAUAGGACCACUGCCUGCAUGGGUGGUGGUGGCAAGAUUUUGCGGUGUGGGAUGGGCCCGCGGCCUAUCAGCUUGUUGGUGGGGUGAUGGCCUACCAAGGCGACGACGGGUAGCCGGCCUGAGAGGGUGACCGGCCACACUGGGACUGAGAUACGGCCCAGACUCCUACGGGAGGCAGCAGUGGGGAAUAUUGCACAAUGGGCGCAAGCCUGAUGCAGCGACGCCGCGUGAGGGAUGACGGCCUUCGGGUUGUAAACCUCUUUCAGCACCGACGAAGCGCAAGUGACGGUAGGUGCAGAGGAAGGACCGGCCAACUACGUGCCAGCCGCCGCGGUAA